rnacentral:lncRNA from 1 species
GACCGGAGGAGCAGCGCUUGACUGACAGCCGCCCGCCCCAACCCGCUCCAUCACCCGGCCGCGCCCACCACGGAGACCCGGGCGAACUGACGACUCAGCCACCUGUCAGCCUCAAGUCCAGGAGGAAAUUCUGGGAAAGCUGUUUCACCGCUCGCAGUCCGAACAACUUAAUGAUCUCCCGAAUGGUGGGCAACGGGGGAAGGCGGAAAGUGCCGAGCUUCCCCGAGGCAGCCAUGAGAGACCCACAUACACAGCCACGCGCAGCGGCUGGAAAGGUGCACGGCGCGCAGGGGGUGGGACCUUGGAGAAGACUGCCCGCCUCUGAGGCCACCUGGUUGGAUGGAGAAACCUGCCGGAAAUGACGAAACUGACAGGAAGUCUGUAUGUACUGGGAGCUCAGGACGCGUCAGGCCGAAAGCGGUGCAGGUUGGGAGAGGAGAGGGGGCGGAGGCUAGGAGGCGUGGUCUUUGUAACCUCUGGGAGGCUCCGCAGGCCUUUGACAUUCCAAAGGCUUGACUUUUGAUUUGUAGCAGGAAAGAUGGUGAUUGGUUGCUUGCUGUUUGUAGACUGGUUACCGCCCCACCCCCGUAGGCUAGAUACUUUUUAUUUCUUCGCGUCCAUUACUUCUUUCAGAACUUAGUUCCAUAGAGAACUAUAGGCUUAUUUAAGGUAAGCCUGCUGAAAACCGAGUUUAAGACUUAGACUUUAGAGCAAAUGGCUGAAUGCCAGCCCGUUAACAGCACCCCAGCUUUAACCAAUAGCAAGAGACCAACUGACUCAAGUAAAGCAAAAAGCUAACCGUAACCAACUAAACUGUGUCUCUAGAUAAUUUCUCUUUUCUUGUCAUUGAACAAUGUCCAUUUUCUGGCCGGAGUUGUUUGAAAGAAUUCCAAGGGCUGCCUAAUUUUAGAAUGGUGAAUGAAAGCCAUUCUGGGUCUUUAAAUAUGCUGUAAUUUUGUCUCUUGAGCUAAGCACUUUAAACUUCGAGAAGUGUUUUUGAUACCACUUGUUACUAUUUCAUAUUCCCUUUUAAAUCUCUCAGGUGUAGUCUUGCGAAACAGGACACAUAUUGCUAACUUCCGAUUAAAACAGGAUCAAGAAAGCCCUGCGAGGCCACGAAUUUCGUAAAGCUGGAAGUUCACAGAUUCCAGCUGUAGUCUAGUGCAUGCGCGGUGGCUGCUGUUUUUAAGCAAUGCCAGCAAGGUCAGCAUCAGGACCACUCUUUUAGCCUUUGAAGCUUUUUCUAAAAGCUCAUUCAUGCUGCAAGCAUUGUGGUCUCUCCACUGCUCUCAGAGUGAACCAUAAAGGGGUUGCUCUUUUAAAAAGCUCAACUAAAAGAAAUGUGUGCCAGGUCUCACAACUGAGUGGUUUGGAAUUAUUCGCUCACUAAUUGUUACCAUACAGAUUCGGGUAGAUUUUAUUAUUACGUAGUGGUGAAAGUGAGACUUGGGGCGGUUCAGCCACUUUCCCACACUUCAGAGUGGAAACGGAAGGCUUACUCAUCAGGCAGGGAAUCCAAUGGAGAAAGGCUAUUUGAGGGUUAAAAUCCAAGUACCAAGAGAAGACAAAUAGGUUCUGUCUUCCUGUGAUGUCUGAGAACACAAGAAAGAAAUGAAAACUUUUAAAAUAUUUUUCAUAAGUGGGAAGAUUUUUACUUUUUUCCGUCUGAUUUCACUUGGUUAUAAGUGAAUUACACAUCGUUUAUGGUUCUGGUAGUUUAAAAAAAAAAAAAAAAAAAAAGCUAAUGUAAAACCAGACCACUCUGGGCCGUGUGGAGAAGUAAAAAGUCCACAUAUCCACUUUAGUGGUUGCUAGAUCAGCAGAAACCAUGGGCUGACUGAUGUAUCUCUUUUAGAAAGUGAGAAUGUGGUGGCAAUUCCCCAAAGUGUCAUAAAAAAACUUUGAUUUGAUAUUUGAUUCAGAGAUAAUAUUCUCCAUAAAACACUAUACCUAGAAGGUGUCUAUUCAGGCAAUUGGGCUUUGUUUGGAUGGUUGGUAGGUUUUGUUUUGUUUGUUUUUUUACCUUUGUGUUCCUUUGGAAAUGUUAUUAUUCCUAUACUGCAGGGAAGAAAUACCAGCAAGUACAGUCAUUCAACCUACCCAGGGUCACCAGCAAUGCAUCUAGAGAAGAUACCCCGAGUUCUUCACGUUUCAAGUUCCAAGUUCAGUAGCCAAGCUUCUCAAAUACUGUAUCAACUGAAAUUAUUUUAAGUUAAUUAACAUGUUCAUUUUGUGUUAUUUAAAUGUAUAGAAAUAUGAAAUUAGGUGUAGACUUAGAUCUACAGUUUUCAUAUGACUACUAAAAUCACACAAUAAAAAUAUGCAAACCCACCAAACCAACACACAUGGCUUUAUUAUUUUAUAAUAAAGAUGCCAUAAAAAUCAC